CCCAAUAUCCAAUAAUGAAUCACGUUGAUUUGUCCGGUAUCCACGAUCCAACACCGACACCUCGCUCGCAUGGCCGCAUCCGCCCACCCCCGAACACAUCGGGAUUUCUCCCCCACACCUCACCCACGUCCGCCCGCAACCCACCGAGCACAUCGGCGCCGGAGCUCCCCCCUCUCAUCCGUCGAAUCAGCACCGUGGGCGCAGCGCCACCCCACUUGGCGUAGCCCUCUCCCUGUCGCAGCGGCGGCUCCUCCACCUUCCCGACGAGGCGGCGGCUCCUUCACCUUCCUGGCGGCGUCGGUGGCCAGCCCUCCGCCUCCCCGCCCUGAUCUGCGUCCCCACGGGCGCGGCGGCACGACCAACCGGCGGGCACGGCGGCCCCUUGCUGUGCGUGGCUUCCCAUCCCCAACCAGUGGUGGAUGGGGCUUGAGGCGACGGUGUGGCUCGCCCUGCGCCCCACAGCUCCUUCCCGGUGACGGCGGAGCGUCGUUCUCUCUUCCGGUGCCAUUCUGGAGUUCAUGUUCUACUCAUGUUUUCUGAAAAUCAACCUUACCAGAUUACACAUUUUUGGUUCGUAUUCAGAUUCAGGAACCUGUUAGUUGUUUCAGUGUGCAUGGUUUUAGCAAUUUUAUUAAUAGUCCCAGAACCAAUAUUCUAAAUGAUACCGUAUUUUAGAUCAAGCACAAUACAUGCUGCUGUUCAUGCUACUUAAUUCUUGUAACUUUGUUUGUCGUAAAUCAGAGAGGUAUUUACGAUAUUUUUUUACCUGAAUCAGACUCACGAGUUUAGGAAGACUAUCGAUUUCUUAUGGUAAUUUCUUGAUUAACUAUUCAUCAGUCACUUAGUUAAUUCCAUUUGUCUGAUUAGCCAUCUGGGUUUUGGUAGCUGUUUGUGACUCCCGAAGGUUGAAAUAUUGUUUAUUAUUACAGAUCUAUUGGCCACAUUAGCUAGAGUGUGAAGGUUUGUGGAUCCUAUUGAUUUUAGGUUGUGUUAGCUGGCUGUUUUUUUAAACCAAAAUUUUGAAUGUCAGAUCCUUUGAUUUUGUAUUCUUUAUGAACAGAGUACAAAGGUAGUAGUAUAGUUAGAAUAGAUUAUAGUGAUUCAUAUAUAAAGGACAUAAAUAUAUUGUAAUAUAUCGAUAUCAUCUGAGAAAAUUUUUUGGCUAGUCCCUAACUAAAUUAUUGAUUCAAAUUACUGUAAUUACUUAACAACCUAUUGUACUCCUGAUUUGAGUAGCAUCAGAAUACCAUGACCCUAAAUUCUGGUAGCUCCCUAUCUUCAUUAUGGUAAUUUUGAUCAUCCUUAUUAAUUUUUAUCGUCAACCAUAGUCGAAAAUUUACGUAAAUACUUAUAUUCAUAAUACCCAUUUGGUACCAGUGUAAGUUAUGUCGUGAAUACCUCAAAGGCUCGAUCCGCACUGCUCCAAGCUUCCGACGAACAGUUUGUGAAGAAAAACUUAUGCAGCCUAUCCAGGUUCUUUCAUCAGAGCUGGCGAGUAAUUAAUCUGUAUGCGAUCGGAAUGCAUUCAUGAUUCUAUAGGAGAUUAAUGAAAUUGUCGUGAGAAAGGCAUUUGAACAAAUAUUAGGCCAUGUCUGCUUGACUUCAUUACAUUUGAGGACAACUAUUAAUAUGUGUUCUGCAUCAACUUCAAUUUGACCACCGGCCAUUGGUCAUGCAUCUGGGGAUGCUUAUGCCGCUGCAAAAUAGGCAUCCAGAUCCAGUAGGGAUGCUUAUGCUGGCGCACAGGAUUUUGAUUCGUGUCAUGGUUCAAAAUAUAUGGGGACAGUGUCUUGUAUGAUUUACACUUCUAUUUUGUUAUGAUGGAAAAAUGUAUCAAUGUACAUGUCUUUGGAAAGACAUAUUAUGGUUGUUUCAAAAUUUUCUUUAAACAGAUUUCAAAUUGUCGUAA